UACGAAGGGGGCUAGCGUUGCUCGGAAUCACUGGGCGUAAAGCGCACGUAGGCGGACUCUUAAGUCGGUGGUGAAAUCCUGGAGCUCAACUCCAGAACUGCCUUCGAUACUGAGAGUCUCGAGUCCGGGAGAGGUGAGUGGAACUGCGAGUGUAGAGGUGAAAUUCGUAGAUAUUCGCAAGAACACCAGUGGCGAAGGCGGCUCACUGGCCCGGUACUGACGCUGAGGUGCGAUAGCGUGGGGAUCAAACAGG
rnacentral:rRNA from 1 species